GCCAUAGUUCAAUGGUAGAUCAUCUGUCUUGCAUGCAGAAGGUCCACAGUUCAAUCCUGAGUAUCUCCA